CUUGGUUCAGAACGAACGCUGGCGGCGUGCUUAACACAUGCAAGUCGAACGCGAAAGGGACUUCGGUCCUGAGUAAAGUGGCGCACGGGUGAGUAACGCGUAGAUAACCUGUCUUCAUGUCUGGAAUAAUACGCCGAAAGGGGUACUAAUACCGGAUAUUCUUGCUUUUCAUAAGUUAUGCAAGCAAAGGUGGCCUCUGCAUAUGCUACUGCAUGAAGAGGGGUCUGCGUACCAUUAGCUAGUAGGUGGGGUAAUGGCCUACCUAGGCGACGAUGGUUAGCGGGUCUGAGAGGAUGAUCCGCCACACUGGCACUGGAACACGGGCCAGACUCCUACGGGAGGCAGCAGUGAGGAAUAUUGCGCAAUGGGGAAACCCUGACGCAGCGACGCCGCGUGAGUGAAGGAAGGCCUUCGGGUCGUAAAGCUCUGUCAAGAGGAAAGAAGUGUACAAUGGCUAAUACCUGUUGUAUUUGACGGUACCUCUAAAGGAAGCACCGGCUAACUCCGUGCCAGCAGCCGC
rnacentral:rRNA from 1 species